UUCUACAUGGAUAACCGUAGUAAUUCUAGAGCUAAUACAUGCUGUAAAACCUGACUUUUUGGAAAGGUUGUAUUUAUUAGAUAUCAAACCAAUAAUCUCUCGGGAUUAUUGUGAUGAUUCAUAAUAACUGAUCGGAUCAAGGAAUACCUUGAUAGAUCAUUCAAGUUUCUGCCCUAUCAGCUUUCGAUGGUAGUGUAUUGGACUACCAUGGCAGUCACGGGUAACGGAGAAUUAGGGUUCGAUUCCGGAGAGGGAGCCUGAGAAACGGCUACCACAUCUACGGAAGGCAGCAGGCGCGUAAAUUACCCAAUCCUGAUUCAGGGAGGUAGUGACAAGAAAUAACAACUCGGGGCCUCACGGCUUUCGAGAUUGCAAUGAGAACAAUUUAAAUCACUUAACGAGGAACAAUUGGAGGGCAAGUCUGGU
rnacentral:rRNA from 1 species